UACGAAGGGGACUAGCGUUGUUCGGAAUCACUGGGCGUGAAGCGCACGUAGGCGGAUGUGUCAGUCAGGGUGAAAUCCCGGGGCUCAACCUCGGAACUGCCUUUGAUACAGCACGUCUCGAGUCCGGAAGAGGUGGGUGGAAUUCCUAGUGUAGAGGUGAAAUUCGUAGAUAUUAGGAAGAACACCAGUGGCGAAGGCGAGUCCCUGGACAGGUCCUGACGCUGAGGCACGAAAGCUAGGGGAGC
rnacentral:rRNA from 1 species